UUGACUUAUGCUUGUUUUAAAUGUACUGCAGUAAUAUGCCAUAAUCAUUUUCCCUUUACGUGUAGGUCAAAUUCACAGUGUUUUAAAUAUUUUGAAUGUUGGUGGUUGCUGUCAGUGAUUAUCCAUAUUACUGGAACAUUAUGCAGGUGAUGGACACAAUUGAAUUUACUAUAGCAAUACAAGCGCCUUUUUCCAGGAAUGACCACCUGAACCCUUGCUGUAAAACUUAAAAUGAGAAACUGAAGGUCAUUACCUAAGACUCACUAUUAUGUAUUUUAUUUUACGUAUAAUGUUGUAUUCUCCUGUAUAUAUUAGUACCCUUUGUGAACAAGUAAUUCAUUUCCUAGACAAUAAGAUCAUAACCAGGAAGAGGACUGAAAUAUAAAUGAAAAUUGUUUAAAGGUAAUUGUCCGACAGGCAUUGCACAUUUUUAAACACUUAGCUGCGGAAGCAAAGAACCACCUGCCGCACCAGAGGUGUGUGUCUAACCCUCUGAGGUCGACGGCAUCGUCAGCAAUGCCUGGUAUCUUUCUCGUGUAUUUCAGUUUAUAACUCACUGAAAUCUUAUUGUAGAAUCAAGAAAAAAUGCUGAUUAAAUCCGUAAUCUGUCGUCUUUUCAAAACGUCCGUUGUUGGAAGUAUUAACGUGUUUAAAAUUAAGUUAAAUAGUCAAAUAAGUAAACCAUGUCACCUUACUUUGGUUUACCUGUAUCUGAGGCGAGUAUAUGACUACAAAACAAUUGUUUUAUUUUAAUUUGCAUUUCACAUAAUAUAUAUUGGAAAAUGGCUUAAUAAUUUGGAAUGAAUUUGCUGGAAAUAAGAUUUUACUUAAAAUAAUGACUUUUGCAGUAAAUCAUAUGUAUAAUUUACAUUAAAUGGUACAAGGGAGGUGCAUUUCCCAAAAGCCUAUUUGCUAAUUCCAUUAGCACUUUCAUUGUAGCCUGUGAAGGGGCCGCACACACAUAUCAACCUCACUGCUAUCGCAUAUAAUGGAGAGAAAUGCGUUCUGAUGCUGGACUGUAAGGUACACACAUGAUGCCUACUUACAGAGAACAUGGAAACACACCAGUAACUGGCACAGAUCAAGCUACCCACAGUACUUGCAUGAACCAAAGUAUUUACAAAAACUAAAUGCAAACAGGGCUAUGUACAUGGCUCACGAGCAUGUUGGAUAUGCUAAUAGGCUUUGCUGUACAGAGCCGUUUUGCCAGCGCUACACUAUUAUGCACCCAAAAACCUUGGAAAUGCAAAACGUGUGAUGUGUACCUUUGUACAGUACAGUAUAUACCAGAUGGGAACUAUUUAUUGUUCUAAUGUUUAUUCAUUGUUUUGUGUUAUCCGAGUAGUAUAAUGUGAUUUGCACUUUUUAUUCAUCAACAUUUAAUACAUUCAUGUUAUACACUGUAAAAAGCCUAUUAAUGUCUCUUCUUAAUAUCCACACUGAUUUUUCAAAGUGUUGGGUGUAGGGGGGCAGUGACAAUGACAUUCCAGACUGAUGGACCAUUUACAGUAUGCAAGCUAUUAGAGAUGUGAUGACAUCUGUCUCAUCAGUAUGCAUUAUGUAGGCCACUGACAAAAAAAAUAUAACUUCAAAGUUCUAAUGCUUAUUAAUCAAACCACAUGAAAUUUCUGAAGCUCUCAUUCACCUAUGUGUAGCUAACCCCUAUGUCUAUUAACUUCGAAGCUCAAAGUCUUAGCUAGAAAUGUUUGCAAUUAGAUUUUUUUUCUUUUUUAACAAUUUCUCGGCAUCUCUGAAAAUAGUUUUUUGAAAAGUGCAUGUUUAACCCUCUGGAGUCGAAGAUGAUGCCGUGUAUCUUUCUCGUGUAUUUCAAUUCAUAACUCGCUGAAAUCGUAUUGUAGAAACAUGAAAAAAACACUGACUAAAUCCGUAACCUGUCUUCUUUUCAAAACGUCAGUCGUUGGAAGUAUUAAAGUUUUUAAAAUUAGGUGAAAUCGGCUAAAAAGUACAUCAUUUCACCUUUCUUUGUUUUACUUGCAUCGGGGGCGUGUAACGCCGCCCUCACCUGAAGAUUGCUAUUCGCAUUUUAAAUAGCCGCAUUUCCACAUAUUCAAAUCGCAUUCGCAUGGCAAUUUAAUGAACAACGCAACGGUGAAACACGAUCCAGAUACAUCCCCAUCAGCACCAUAAAAUUGGUGGGAGGUGUGACCAGGUGUGAAUGGCUCAUGCAUACACAUGAAAGUUGCUAUAUAUUCAAUGAAAAGGGUCAGAAAAUAGUGACAUGAGUUUUUCUUAUUUAUUUAUCCAACUGAAUGUUGCAACUACACCAUUUAGUUAUCUUCAUGUAGCCAAGACUUUGGUGAUCAGAUAUCUGGGAUCAAAACAAACUUCCACCAUUGCUUACUAUGUACUUUUAUAAUGUUUCUGCAAGUGUUCCAAACUACAUUUUGCAAGGUCUAUACUUUCACGUCAAAUUGCAAACUUCACAUGAAUUUGACAUAUUUACAAAGUACACUAAGAUUGAGAUGAAUUUAAUGCCAAAACAAAUAUAUAAGAAAUAAUUUAUUUGCCAUGAAUUAAGUCUAUGAUAUUAAAUUUGUGUGACCGUGCCCCAUUCAGUGAAAGUGACUCCGUAGACCCAAUAAGGUUAAAGAAGAAUUAGCAACAGGAUAAAAUUUUAUUUUAGACACUGCUCACUGGUGGGUUGUGCUAUUUUUAGAAUAGGUCCUCGGGCUACUCAUGUGGUCCUUGGGGGCACUUUGGUGCCCAUAGGCACCAUGUUGGUGACCCCUGCUGUAUAACAUAAAAUUAGUCAGUAUCUCACGUGUACCUAAAUUUCUGUAGCAGCAGCACAAUCAGUUAGUUUUGAUUCUUGUCACAUGGCAUACACAUGGUGAAAUAUAUCCGCUUGUCUUCAGACUUCUCUUGAGUUUUAUUAAAGGUCUUGUGCGACGUAAGUACAAUGGUACGUUGCACAAUAGGACGUAAGUUGAUGACUGACUGUACUUGCCUUUAUGGAUGAAUGUACUUCCCUUUACAAUUCUAUAAACAAGCAAAUAUGCCCAAUCAGUGGAGAGAGGCAGUUCCCAGGUUACGAACGAGAUCCAUUUCUAAGUCUAUCUUUAGGGUGAAUUUGCAGUUAAGUCUGAACCUGCUACGUACAGUAUGGUUCAUACAUAUAGUGUCAGUUAGUCAAAUGUUUGUUUUUAGGAUAUAGUAUAUACUUUACUUUUUUAUGCAUGUAAAACACUUAAAUGCUUCCAGAUACACUAAAACAGCUUACACAUAAUAUAAUAAUGUUAACAUAACAUGAUAAUACAGUAAAAACAAGUCACUACAUAUGGAAUUGUACUGAAAAGAGAGCGAGAACCUCUAUAUGUGUAUUUGUGUAGGUAUACGGUUCUUAAGCCAGAAAGAGGGAUGCUCAGAAGGUUAUGGCAAGGAAGGGAUUGAGAUUUGAACUCAGGGUUAAUCCCUCAGGACCUCCCAAAGAUAACUCACAUGGCAGUGGGACAGUGGUUGUGGAGCACCUUUAGGGACCAUUGCAGAUCCAAGAUCCCCCACUAAGUCUGAGGUCGCAAAACCCCAGUUACCCUGGGCUGCUCUGAAGAGGCAUUGUAGGGUUCUUGGUGAUGGAGAGGCUACGUACUGACAACAGAAGACUUGUAUAUUGCUCUCUGGACCCCAGCUGGGGUAGUCAGCAGCAGAAGUUAGGGAGCACUAUGGCAUGCAUCCCUACAUGCAAUUGCUCACAAUAACAUGAUGACGACAUAGCCAGCCAGCCCAUAGUUGGCAAAAAUCAAGCUUAACCAGCUGGUGGAACACAUCUUAAGUGCCCUCCCAGAAACGCAGUUUCCAUUAUUCUCUAAAAGAAAGAGCUCUUCCAUAGUAUACUAGUGUCCAAAAUUGUUGGAACACUUCCAAUUUUUAGAGAUUGCAGAAUUUUUUUCCAGUUACAUCAGUUAGCAUACAUUGGACAAUUAAGUAUUUGUAAAAAUUCCAAAAUUGUUUAUAAACACUGCUGCCGAUAGUUGUGUAGCAAUUUUUAAAACAUAAUGCCAAAAAAUGCUAGGUGUUUAUCCAAUACCUUCCAAAAAUCCUUGGUCUGUCCUGGAAUGAUUGAACCCAUACUGAGAUGCUUUCCACAACUAAUUUCAUUUCUAUGGAACAUGCAGUGGCUAAAAAAACACCUUUGCUGGACAGGGCAAAAUAUCUGCAUUUCUGACCACCACCUACUCCAUCUAGUCCUGUACAGGCAACUCAGUAAUGCAAAACGGGUUGCUGACAAAGAAAGAGGCACUGUAAGGACUGUAUGAAAAGACCUGAAAAGUUGCAACAAAGAUCACUCUCAACCUCUGGAACUGCCUUGCAAGUUACCUGUGCCAGGGUGACUGAACAAAUUCAAUACAACAUCCCACUGCAGAGAAGCAAAAGACAUAUCCAAUGACACCAGAAGGUAGCUGGUAUUACCCCAAUAUUUGGACGACUUUGCCCCAUCAGUGGGUAAGUGUGCGGCUCAUGCAUAGGCCGCCACAGUCAAUUGCAGUGGCAUCAGCAUCAGUGGCUCCGAACCCUCUGCAGGUGACAGUGGGUAGGAGGAAGUUGUCAUCAGACACAAUGGACAGCCUAAAGAGAGAAGUAUACAGUACUGUAAAAAAUCAGUUAUUAACCAGUUUAGAUAGAAAAACAAAGAAAAAAAGAUCAUGAUUAAAGGUUAACUACUCUCCUUCUCUUGAUGCCUUGUAAGUAGCAGAAGAACCAGUGUAUUUAACUCAGAGUAUUAAUAUAAUAGGUAGAAAUAUAAAAAUGAAUUGGUUAAAAAUCGAUGUAAAUAUAUGACGAUUUAAACCGGCUGAUGUGGAAAAUUAAUUGGUACUUAAGUAAAGUACCGUGAUGUACUCCUAAACAGAAAAACCUGGUGUAAUAUUACAUUUGAUUUUACUGCGUAUGUACUGCGUCACUGCGUAUGUACGUCGACGUCGAACGUUUUUGGUUUUGACUGACCACGAGAUGGUGAGCAAAUUUGAAAUUGAAGACACACUCCCCAAUCUUAAAUCGGCGGUGUGGCAGCAUUUUAGCUUUCUGGUAAUCCCAAACGAAAGCAGCGAGAAAAGCAGAGAUGACAAAAACUGUGUGCAGACAUUUUAAAAGGCUGAUAACAUACACAAAUAGCACAACGAACAUGCUUCAGCAUGUCCACCGGCAUCACAGUGAGCUCAAUUCACCACCGCCAGAGCGAAGAUUAUUAAAAGGGCAAACCAUGCUAAGAAGCUGCACAUGCAAGCCUUAGUUUAUUUGGUAAGGCUUUAUAUUAAGUGCACCUUCAUAAUGCAUUCAUAGAACAUUCAUAAGCAGCAUGCAAGUACACUUUAACAUCCUAACAUCCCUUAAUGGUUUUAAUAUACAUUUAUAACAAACAUUAAAUGAUUAUUCAAUUAUGUUUGCUGUUAUAUAAUCACUGUUAUUGAUGUGUAUUACAGCUGUUAAUGGAUGUUAGGAUGUAAAGGUAUACAUGCAUGAUGUUUAUGAAUGCUUAAUGAAUACAUUAUGAAGGUGUGCUGAAAGUUGUAUGAAUGCAAUAUAAAAGCAUUAUGAAGGUGCAGUUAAUGUAAAGUGUUACCGUUAGAUUUUUAAAAAAUUUGAUUUCAGAUAUUUUUUAAAACAGUACUUCAUUCAAUUUCAGUUGCACUGUUAAGAGGAGGACACAUUUUGCACAGUUUAGAAAGAUAAAGGAAUAUUUUUGAACAAAUUUGUCUGCAGCUCAUUUUGUUAAAAAAAAAAAAAUCAUGAAUAUAGUGAAUCAUAUCGAAUCAUGAGCUGAGUCUAUCGUUACAUCCCUAAUAAUAGGCUUCAUGACAAUGAUUUCAAAAGGUCAAAAAUAAGUGCCACCCUAACAAACGCACACACUGGCCUGCCAGUCAGCAUAGAAUAAGCCCAGAUUUUAGCCUAAACAUUUUCACAGUCACUUAUUUAAUGGAGAUUCUAAUAUAGCAGGCAGACAACUUUAUGGGUUUAAUAAUGAGUGUAUUUGGCAGCUACAAGGACAAAAGAUAUUUAAAAGCUCUCCAUAUUUAUGGUAAUUUAAUAAACAUGAAUAGACAAUGCAGAGGUAGUUUUAUUAAAAUAAUAAAAACACAAUGCAUCAAUUUAAAAUAUUGACAUUAUUUCAUCAUUGACGCCAUCGACUAAUCUCAGCAGCCCUACUUCACAAGGUAUUGAUUAGUCGAACAAGGUGUGUUAGUGGUCAAGUGAAGAAAAACAUGAGUAUACAGGAUGGUAACAGAUUUGAGGGAAGUGUGUUAAGAUGACACAAUUUUACAAACACAAAUUCACAGUUUUACACUAAUAUGAACAAAAGGUUUUCUGGGGCAAUUUAAGGUUUUCUGGAUCUGUUUUUCAUUCCGGUGCAGGUAUUUCGUCCUUUUGAAAAAGUAUUACGUUUAAUAAACAUAAAUCUAAUAUUAAUUGCAUUAAAUUGUGAAUUUGCUUCUAAAAAUAAACUUAAAUAACUUGAUUACUAAAUUGAUGAAUAAUACUGAUAUUUCAUAUAGAAAAACUGGAGAUGAUAAAAUAAGAAAAUCAUGCUAAAACAAUAGAAAAAUCUAAACUGCCCAAAAGGUUCACAAACUAUCAAGCAGCACUGUAUACAUAAAGUAAAUGAAUAUGAAACCUGGGUUGGGGGGUGAGAUUACAUUGACACACACUGUAAAAGCAAACACUGAUGGUUUGCUUCAAAUGGGAGCUGCAGAGUGGCUAGUAGGAGUAAAUAAUACAUUAUGUGUAUAUAUGUGUGUGAGUGUGUAUACACACACACAAAAUAUAGUGCAAUAAAGUCAGUGUGAAGUUCAUAUCCGUGGGGAGGGGGGCAUGGGGAAGAAGCUGUUAGUCUUGUAGAACUGACUUGAGUACUUGGGUACCUUCUGCCAGAUGGGAGGGUGGGAGGCAUCCUCUGCAGUGCUGGAGGCUCUCAUAGUGUCAAAAGAAAAAAAGGUUCUCAUAGUGUCAAAAAACAUAAUAAAAAAAUCCAAAGAUU